ACAUGUCCUUUUGUAAGGUUUAUUUAAGGUCUAACCUGCCCACUGAGUUUUUAAAUGGCCGCGGUAUUUUAACCGUGCUAAGGUAGCAUAAUCAUUUGUCUUUUAAUUAAGGGCUUGAAUGAAUGGUUGGACGAGGCAUUAACUUUCUUUAACUUAUAGUUUUGAAUUUAAUUUUUCAGUAAAAAAGCUGGAAUAAUUUUAUGGGACGAGAAGACCCUAUAGAUCUUUAUAUUUAAAUAUUUCUGUAAUUUAGGGAGUUAGUUUAUUAGAAGUAGAAUAAAUAUUUUGUUGGGGUGACUGUAGAAUUUAAUUAACUUCUAUUUUAUUUUUCAUAGAUUAGUGUUUUUUUGAUCCGUUAUUAACGGUUAUAAGAUUAAGUUACCUUAGGGAUAACAGCGUAAUUUUUUCGGAGAGUCCAUAUCGAUGAAGAAUUUUGCGACCUCGAUGUUGGAUUAAAAUUAGUGAAGGAUGCAGUUGUUCUUUAACUAGGUCUGUUCGACCUUUAAAUUUUUACAUGAUCUGA
rnacentral:rRNA from 1 species